rnacentral:rRNA from 1 species
CAGGGAUUGCCCUAGUAACGGCGAGUGAAGCGGCAACAGCUCAAAUUUGAAAUCUGGCUCUUUUAGAGUCCGAGUUGUAAUUUGCAGAGGGCGCUUUGGCUUUGGCAGCGGUCCAAGUUCCUUGGAACAGGACGUCACAGAGGGUGAGAAUCCCGUACGUGGUCGCUGGCUAUUGCCGUGUAAAGCCCCUUCGACGAGUCGAGUUGUUUGGGAAUGCAGCUCUAAAUGGGAGGUACAUUUCUUCUAAAGCUAAAUAUUGGCCAGAGACCGAUAGCGCACAAGUAGAGUGAUCGAAAGAUGAAAAGCACUUUGGAAAGAGAGUCAAACAGCACGUGAAAUUGUUGAAAGGGAAGCGCUUGCAGCCAGACUUGCUUACAGUUGCUCAUCCGGGUUUCUACCCGGUGCACUCUUCUGUAGGCAGGCCAGCAUCAGUUUGGGCGGUAGGAUAAAGGUCUCUGUCACGUACCUCCUUUCGGGGAGGCCUUAUAGGGGAGACGACAUACUACCAGCCUGGACUGAGGUCCGCGCAUCUGCUAGGAUGCUGGCGUAAUGGCUGUAAGCGGCCCGUCUUGAAACACGGACCAAGGAGUCUAACAUCUAUGCGAGUGUUUGGGUGUCAAGCCCGAGCGCGUAAUGAAAGUGAACGGAGGUGGGAACCCGCAAGGGUGCACCAUCGACCGAUCCUGAUGUCUUCGGAAGGAUUUGAGUAAGAGCAUGGCUGUUGGGACCCGAAAGAUGGUGAACUAUGCUUGAAUAGGGUGAAGCCAGAGGA